GACUCCAUAGCUCAGUGGUUAGAGCAUGCGAUUGCAGUAAUUAGGUCAUCCACUGAUUAGCUAUCGCAGGGUCGCGUGUUCAAAUCACGCUGGGGUCU